rnacentral:lncRNA from 1 species
GUACACAGCCAGCCUGGCGGGCCACACAGGAGGUCGAGGCAGGGCCCUGGCGGAGGGGCAGCAGCAGGCCCCGGGACAUAUGCCUUUAUUAGGGUCCACAGGUGAAGUGUUUGUGAGGUCCCCCGCCUAAGGCCGGAUCGAGUCGAAACUCCUGGAUGAGUGCAAGGACCAAUGCCGGCGUCAGAUAUCUGCGAGGAGUCAAAUGUUUGGACAAGACCCAUGUCCUGGCACAUGCAAGUAUCGCGUAGUAUCGCAUAGAUGCAGACCAGUGAACCACCAAAUAAAGACAGUGUGUGAGAAUGGUACACUGAGGCUUCAGUGCAGAGAUAAAUCUGUCUUGACAAUUUUUUCUGCAAGUUACGGCAAAUUCAUGGAAGGAAAACAAGAAUGUGGAGUAAUGAAUAAAAAUGGACCUGUUCAUAGUGCCUAUAAAGCUGCUGCAACAAAUGGACCAUAGCUCACUGGACCCAUUUACACGGUCUGAUUAUAUAUAUGGGCUGCUCCCUCGGCUAGGGGUCUAAUCGGAGCUGUAGCCACCAGGCUAUGCCAGAGCCACAGCAACAUGGAAUCCAAGCUGCAUCUGCGACCUACACCACAGCUCACGGCAAUGCCGGAUCGUUAACCCACUGAGCAAGGGCAGGGACUGAACCUGCAACCUCAUGGUUCCUAGUCGGAUUCGUUAACCACUGAGCCACGACGGGAACUCCAAGAUAUGACUCCUUUUGAUCCGGCGACCUCGAAACUAAAAAUGACUGGAGAUGGAAAUAUUCCUUGAUUAGGUCUUGUUUUGUUGCUUGGGGGGUAACCCUCCAAGUCUAUCCUUAUCUGGGAAUCUUGGCAUUUUCCUCUGUUCAUUUAUCUUCAUUACUUUUUCUUUCUCUUCCUCGGACUGCAUACUUUCAAAGAACUAAAGGGAAGCAUGAGUAUGAUGUCUUACCAAAUGGAGAACUUCAAUAAAGAAAAACUGUAAAAAUUGAACUAAAUUCUGGAGCUGAAAAGUACAACUAAAAUGAAAAGUUCACUAGGAAGCUCAACAGCAUAUGUGAGCUGGCAGAAGAAUCAGCGAAAUUAAAGAUAGGCUAAUUGAAAUAGGAGGAUCCGUUUCGUCGAAGAAAACAAGUUGAGAGAAGAAUGAUAAAAUAGAUACAGGCAUACCUGAGAAAAUGGGCUUGCAUUUCCCGUGCGGCGUCUCCGGAGGACUUAUCUUUCCGUUAUGCAUCUUCCCUUCCAAAGUGACCUUUGUCCAGGACAUGAAAACUGUAUAAAUCCCAAGUUGAGCAAGAAAAAGCCACAGGAUGAGGAUGAAGACGAUAACCACGAAGAUGACAGUUCUUCUGGCUCCUCUUUUUGUCCUUUGCCUCACAGCCAUCCACCCGCAAAGAGCAUGUUUUGCCCCGAACUGCCUGCAGCUUUAGAGCACGCAGCUAAGGAAGGAAACCGAGAAAGAGAUGAAAUCUGGAUACCAAGGAAUCUAGUCCUUAUGCCAUUUACAAAAUCAAAUCUGCCGCAAGAUAAAAUGACCCAGGAUGUGCUAUUUACCGGAGUCCAAGUGUAAGGACAGAUGAUUCUAUGUUUUUUUUUUUUUAUAUAUAUUUUUUUAUAUAUAUUUUUUUGUCUUUUGUCUUUUGUUGUUGUUGUUGUUGUUGCUAUUUCUUGGGCUGCUCCCGCGGCAUAUGGAGGUUCCCAGGCUAGGGGUCUAAUCGGAGCCGUAGCCACCAGCCUAUGCCAGAGCCACAGCAACGCGGGAUCCGAGCCGAGUCUGCAACCUACACCACAGCUCACGGCAACGCCAGAUCCUUAACCCACUGAGCAAGGGCAGGGACCGAACCCACAACCUCAUGAUUCCUAGUCGGAUUCGUUAACCACUGCGCCACGACGGGAACUCCGAUUCUAUGAUUUAAAUACAGAUAUGCCACAAAAUACUGGGUGGUAAAGAGUACAGCGGAAGCAUAAGGUGCUAACGGAGGACAGAAGACAUGUAAAUUCGUCUAAUAUGCAAAGGCCCGAGGUCAGGGAAAAGGCGAAAUAAUACAGAAUAUUAAUAACGAAAGCAUACAGGGUAAAGAGAGGUGAGGCUAGGAUUGAAUCUUGUAGGAUGAGUGAAAGUUUGCUGGGCACAUUAGAUGUGGGGAAAUGACAUUCGAGGAAGAGGAAAAGGCGUGUGGAAAGGCACAGAGGCCGGGGCGAGCAUGGCACAUCAGGGAAACUGCAAAUAGUUAUAUCGGAGAUGAUGCAGCCAGAGCGAUGUGACCGGGGAGUGUGCAGUUUUCAAGGGUCACUCAGUUCAGAAUGGAGAUUUGAUUAGGAACAAAGACAAGAGGGAAGGCAGGAAUCUAUCAUGAAGAAUACUUUCAAAACUUUUAGAAAUGUUUGGCUACAAUAUAUAAAUACAUUCUAAUAUGUAUCUAUUCCUAUUCCAAUUAAAACUUGUAUUGAUAUUGAUAAAUUGCCCCACCAAAUAUACUCCCAUGGGAUAAACACACCAAAGAGUGUUUGAUGCUUGUUUUUUCAUAUCCCAGCAAUGUAUAUUAAAAAUCUAAUAAAAAUUAAACAUCUAAGAGACAAAAUAUACUUCUCACCUUCUCUCCUAUAUGCCUCCAGCUCUUUCUAUAUCUUUAUUCAUUCUUUUUUUCACUAAUGUCUGAAAGUGUGAAGCACAACUUCUUUUCAAGGAUAGCUCACAAUAAUUGCAAUAUGUGUGUGUUUAUUUCUUUUAAAAAAUAUUUCAGGGAGUUACCAUCGUGGCUCAGUGCUUAACAAACCCCACUGGUAUCCAUGAGGUUGCGGAUUCGAUCCCUGGCCUCGUUCAGUGGGUUAAGGAUCCAGUGCUGCCAUGAGCUGUGGUGUAGGUCGCAGAUGCAGCUCAGAUCCUGCAUUGCUGUGGCUGUGGCGUAGGCCAGAGGCUACAGCUCUGAUUUGACACCUAGCCUGGGAACCUCCAAAUGCCAUGGGUGUGGCCCCCAAAAGCAAUAAUAAUAAUAACAAUGAUAACAAAUAAAAAUAAAUAAAAAUAUUUCAGACAUGGAAA